UAGGGAAUAUUGCUUAAUGGGCGAAAGCCUGAAGCAGCAACGCCGCGUGGACGAAGAAGGCCUUCGGGUUGUAAAGCACUUUUUGAGAGGAUGAGGAAGGACGGUACUCUCAGAAUAAGUCUCGGCUAACUACGUGCCAGCAGCCGCGGUAACACGUAGGAGGCAAACGUUAUCCGGAUUUACUGGGCGUAAAGCGCGUGUAGGUGGUUUGGUAAGUAGAGCGUGAAAGCUCCUGGCUCAACUGGGAGAGGUCGAUCAAUACUGUCGGACUAGAGGAUGAGAGAGGGAGGUGGAAUUCCGAGUGUAGUGGUGGAAUGCGUAGAUAUUCGGAGGAACACCAGUGGCGAAAGCGGCCUCCUGGCUCAUAUCUGACGCUCAGACGCGAAAGCUAGGGUAGCAAACG
rnacentral:rRNA from 1 species